UCCUACGGGAGGCAGCAGUGGGGAAUAUUGGACAAUGGGCGCAAGCCUGACCCAGCCAUGCCGCGUGAGUGAUGAAGGCCCUAGGGUUGUAAAGCUCUUUCACCGAUGAAGAUAAUGACGGUAGUCGGAGAAGAAGCUCCGGCUAACUUCGUGCCAGCAGCCGCGGUAAUACGAAGGGGGCUAGCGUUGUUCGGAAUUACUGGGCGUAAAGCGCGCGUAGGCGGUUACUCAAGUCAGAGGUGAAAGCCCGGGGCUCAACCCCGGAACUGCCUUUGAAACUAGGUGACUAGAAUCUUGGAGAGGUCAGUGGAAUUCCGAGUGUAGAGGUGAAAUGCGUAGAUAUGCGGAGGAACACCGAUGGCGAAGGCAGCCCCCUGGGCCAAUACUGACGCUCAUGCACGAAAGCGUGGGGAGCAAACAGGAUUAGAUACCCUGGUAGUCCACGCCCUAAACGAUGUCAACUAGUUGUUGGGGAUUCAUUUCCUUAGUAACGUAGCUAACGCGUGAAGUUGACCGCCUGGGGAGUACGGUCGCAAGAUUAAAACUCAAAUGAAUUGACGGA
rnacentral:rRNA from 1 species